UACGGAGGGUGCAAGCGUUGUCCGGAUUUAUUGGGUUUAAAGGGUGCGUAGGCGGCCCGUUAAGUCAGUGGUGAAAGCCUCCAGCUCAACUGGAGAACUGCCAUUGAUACUGACGGGCUUGAGUACAGACGAGGUUGGCGGAAUUGAUUGUGUAGCGGUGAAAUGCAUAGAUACAAUCAAGAACUCCGAUUGCGUAGGCAGCUAACUAGGCUGUAGCUGACGCUGAGGCACGAAAGCGUGGGGAGCGAACAGG
rnacentral:rRNA from 1 species